rnacentral:tRNA from 1 species
GCGCCCAUAGCUCAGCCGGAUAGAGCGGCUGCCUUCUAAGCAGUAGGUCGGGAGUUCGAGUCUCCCUGGGCGCACUA